GGCGGAGUAGCUCAGGCGGCAGAGCAGUGGAAUCAUAAUCCACGUGUCGGGGGUUCGAAUCCCUCCUCCGCUA
rnacentral:tRNA from 1 species